rnacentral:rRNA from 1 species
GACGAACGCUGGCGGCAUGCCUAACACAUGCAAGUCGAACGAGAAGGUCGGGCCUAGGGGCGCACGGGUGCGUAACGAGUGGGAACCAGCACUUGGGUUCGGAAUCACUGCCCGAGAGGGGUCUUAAUACCGGUUGAUGUCUUAGGACCUAAGAUUUAUCGCUUUUGGAUGGGCGCGCGUUGGAUUAGCCGGUUGGUAGGGUAAAAGCCUACCAACGGGACGAUGCAUAGCUGGUCGGAGAGGAUGACCAGCCACGCUGGGACUGAGACACGGACCAGACCCCUAGGGAAGGGAGCAGUGUGGAAUAUUAGACGAGGGGCGAAAGCCUAAUCCAGCAAUGCCGCGUGAGAGAGGAAGGCCUUAGGAUUGUAAAGCUCUUUUUCCCGGGAUGAUAGUGACGGUAACGGGUGAAUAAGCUCCGGCUAACUCCGUG